GACGAACGCUGGCGGCGUGCUUAACACAUGCAAGUCGAACGGAAAGGCCUGCUUUCCCUUGUGGAUUGCGGGUACUCGAGUGGCGAACGGGUGAGUAACACGUGAGUGAUCUGCCCCCAACUUGGUUAUAAGCCUGGGAAACUGGGUCUAAUUCCCGAUAGGACUGCAGGGUGGUGCCUGUGGUGGAAAUCGAUGUUCUAGUGGUUGGGGAUGAGCUCGCGGCCUAUCAGCUUGUUGGUGGGGUAAUGGCCUACCAAGGCGGCGACGGGUAGCCGGCCUGAGAGGGUGGAGGGCGACAGUGGGACUGAGAUACGGCCCAGACUCCUACGGGAGGCAGCAGUGGGGAAGAUGAGACGAGGGGCGGAAGCCUGAUGCAGCGACGCAGCGUGGGGGAUGACGGGCUUCGGGUUGUAAACUCCUUUCGACCGCGAGGAAGCCACCUGGUUGGAAGGGUGGUGACGGUAGUGGUAGAAGAAGCACCGGCUAACUACGUG
rnacentral:rRNA from 1 species